UACGUAGGGGGCAAGCGUUGUCCGGAUUUAUUGGGCGUAAAGAGCGUGUAGGCGGCUAGGUAGGUCCGUUGUGAAAACUCGAGCUCAACCUCGAGACGCCGGUGGAAACCAUCUAGCUAGAGUCCGGAAGAGGAGAGUGGAAUUCCUGGUGUAGCGGUGAAAUGCGCAGAUAUCAGGAAGAACACCCGUGGCGAAGGCGGCUCUCUGGGGACGGUACUGACGCUGAGACGCGAAAAGCGUGGGUAGCGAACAGG
rnacentral:rRNA from 1 species